rnacentral:rRNA from 1 species
GGCCUGUUGAUUAUAAUUUCAGGUCUGGCCUGCCCAAUGAAAAUUUUAAUGGCUGCAGUAUUUUGACUGUACAAAGGUAGCAUAAUCAUUAGUUUCUUAAUUAGAAGCUUGAAUGAAAGGUUUGAUGAAAAAGUUACUGUCUCUUUCAAGAUUUUCUAGAAUUUUAGUUUUAAGUGAAAAAGCUUAAAUUUUUAUAGAAGACGAGAAGACCCUAUAGAGUUUUAUAUUUAGAUUAUGUAUAAAUUUAUAGAUAUAGAAGUUUAUAUUUGUUGUAAUUAUUUUGUUGGGGUGAUAGAAAAAUUUAAUAAACUUUUUUUUAUUUAUAAACCAUUAAUUUAUGAUUUUAAUGAUCCUUUAUUUAAGAUAAGAAGAUUAAAUUACCUUAGGGAUAACAGCGUAAUUUUUUUUAGAGUUCUUAUCGAAUAGAAAGAUUGCGACCUCGAUGUUGGAUUAAAAUAAAUUUUUGGUGUAGAUGCUAAAACAUUGGGUCUGUUCGACCCUUAAAAUUUUACAUGAUCUGAGUUUAAACCGGUGUGAG